CAGAAUCUGCCGCUCGCUGGCACUCAGUCACACCGAGAGAGCGAGAACGGGUCUCACAGACGGCCCAGGUACAGGUACAGAGACUCCCGGGACAGGUGUCCGGACCGGAGGCAGACGAGCGGAUAACAAAGUCGGCACAGGUUGGAAGGUAGACGGUGUGAGUGCGAGUGCGUGUGUGUGUGUGUGAGGCACGUGGCGGCCGCUCUCAUUUCCGGGAGUGUCCACACCGUCUGGUCCCUGAGGAUGAACGAUGCUUCUUGUUUGUGGGGGGAGGAGGAGUCUUCAAGGUUAAGCUCUUGGGACCUGGGCAGAGGGCAAAAGCACUCAAUCCCCUGGCUGUGUCCCGACCGAGACGGACGUGGGACGGAUGUCUGUGAGAGAUAAGAAAGAGAAACGGUGGACAAGAGAGGAUGCGGCACUGGCGUGUCUGAGAGAUUGAAUGUUCAAUAUGUUCACAUGCCUAUGAUGAUGAUGAUGGUUUCUUCUGGUUUUUAAAUAAAACUCGAUCCUGUA